CCCAAAGUGGGUGGUACUGCCCUUUCGGUGUAUGUGGAAAGAUCCAGGGGGGCAGUGAGGAAAAUGGUGGCAGCAGGAGGAUAUUAGAUUAUAGAUUAAACCCUGUCAGUGCCCAAGGCGAUCCACAUCAUGUCUGCUUUGUCUCCAUCACUUCGACCACUGCCAAGAAGCCUGCCUCACUGCCCCCUGCAACAGUCCUGCAAGCUGCCAUCCACUACAGGUUCCCCCUCCCAACACCAGGUAGGCUGUUGGCCUAAGCUUCCAAUGACUCUUUCAUUUUUGUCCUCUUAUGUUACCCAGUGGUGUUCUUGUCUCUUUUGUGCAGCUCAGCCUCCCUGAACAAGCAGAAAACAUCAGCAAAUGCACCAUUUUCCUUGGUAGAGAAAUGGCAGCCCAACAGGAAAGUGGGCACUCCUGGAGGGAAGGAUGACACCUGGUCUCAGCUAUACAACUAAACUGCAGAUACAGGCUGAGUGGGCUGAAUCUGGAUCCAUAGUGCAAAUAACUACAGUGGCCGGAGAGAACCCAGGUCCCUGAUGAAAAUCCCCAGGGACCUCAUUUUCCACAUUUGGCCAGGUUUGAGCAGUUUUUCCAAGAAGACUGGGCAAACGGAGCAGGAUCCAGAUGUACAAAGCUGACAGAGGUUUACCCAAGAAGACUUCCAGCUGUAAUUGCUACUAAAGAUGCUUCUAUCAAGUAUUGCCUCUAGGCGUAAAUACUUACACAACCAUCAAGUACCAGUUUGUUUUUACUUAUUUAACUUCUGUACCAUAAUAAAAGUAUUUUAGUUGAGUACCUUGCAUACAUCAAAUUAGUAAUAAGACCAAUUAAAUUCAUUCAGUUCCACUUCUGUUCCAUUCAGUAACACAACAAAAUGUGGAAAAACCAAAGUUGUGAAUACUUCAUAAAACAUAUAAAGGAAUAACUUGUUAAGUCCCUUGCCUUUUCCGUAUACAGCAGCGUGCAUGCCAUUGAUUCUCCAGUCAAAGUUAUGAAUGCAGAUAGCUUCAACAAAUUCACUGCUGGUUCCAUGAAACAACAUGUGUUCAUUAAUAAAGGAGACACCUCUUUUUUUCUUUAACUGAGCCUUUUUCCUG